rnacentral:rRNA from 1 species
GAUGAACGCUGGCGGCGUGCCUAAUACAUGCAAGUCGAGCGAACGGACGAGAAGCUUGCUUCUCGGAUGUUAGCGGCGGACGGGUGAGUAACACGUGGAUAACCUACCUGUAAGACUGGGAUAACUUCGGGAAACCGUAUCUAAUACCGGAUAAUAUUUUGAACCGCAUGGUUCAAAAGUAAAAGACGGUCUUGCUGUCACUUAUAGAUGGAUCCGCGCUGCAUUAGCUAGUUGGUAAGGUAACGGCUUACUAAGGCAACGAUGCAUAGCCGACCUGAGAGGGGGAUCGGCCACACUGGAGCUGAGACACGGUCAAGACUCCUACGGGAGGCAGCAGUAGGGAAUGUUACGCAAUGGGCGAAAGCCUGACGGAGCAACGCCGAGCGAGUGAUGAAGGCCUUCGGAUCGUAAAACUCUGUUAUUAGGGAAGAACAUAUGUGUAAGUAACUGUGCCCAUCGUGACGGUACCUAAUCAGAAAGCCACGGCUAACUACGUG